rnacentral:rRNA from 1 species
GAUGAACGCUGGCGGCGUGCCUAAUACAUGCAAGUCGAGCGAACAGACGAGGAGCUUGCUCCUCUGACGUUAGCGGCGGACGGGUGAGUAACACGUGGAUAACCUACCUAUAAGACUGGGAUAACUUCGGGAAACCGGAGCUAAUACCGGAUAAUAUAUUGAACCGCAUGGUUCAAUAGUGAAAGACGGUUUGCUGUCACUUAUAGAUGGAUCCGCGCCGCAUUAGCUAGUUGGUAAGGUAACGGCUUACCAAGGCAACGAUGCGUAGCCGACCUGAGAGGGUGAUCGGCCACACUGGAACUGAGACACGGUCCAGACUCCUACGGGAGGCAGCAGUAGGGAAUCUUCCGCAAUGGGCGAAAGCCUGACGGAGCAACGCCGCGUGAGUGAUGAAGGUCUUCGGAUCGUAAAACUCUGUUAUUAGGGAAGAACAAAUGUGUAAGUAACUAUGCACGUCUUGACGGUACCUAAUCAGAAAGCCACGGCUAACUACGUG